CCCUUAGAUGUUCUGGGCCGCACACGCGCUACACUGGCAGGUUCAUCGAGCUUCAUGCCCUGAUCUGAGAAGGACGGGAAAUCUUUGAACACCUGCUGUGCUUGGGAUAGAUGUUUGCAAUUAUUCAUCUUCAACGAGGAUUGCCUUGUAAGCGCACGUCAUCAGCGUGCAUUGAAUACGACCCUGUAUUCUGUACACACCGCCCGUCGCUCCUACCGAUUGAAGUUUUCGGUGAAUUUACUGGAGAUCCCUUUUGAAGGUGGUUCGCCACUGGAAGAAGUAUUCAAAAGUAAAUGAAUCGAAUGCUUUAGAGGAAGGAGAAGUCGUAACA
rnacentral:rRNA from 1 species